AACUUUUGACAACGGAUCUCUUGGUUCUCGCAUCGAUGAAGAACGCAGCGAAUUGCGAUAUGUAAUGUGAAUUGCAGAAUUCAGUGAAUCAUCGAGUCUUUGAACGCACAUUGCGCCUUUUGGUAUUCCGAGAGGCACGCCUGUUCGAGCGUCAGUGAAAACCCUUCCGGGUCAGCUUUUUCGGAAGCUCGACCGCGGGACCCUGGCGUGGGGAGACCGGCCGCAAGGCCCCUCCCCCGCUUAAACUCGGAGAAAGCUAGCGGGCUCAUGGCCACGACCGCAGAAGACUAGUAAUUUUACCACGUCAUCAGAAGUCCUACCAUAGCCUCGCCUCUUAACACCGACGGCAGCCUUCCGGCUGUCAUCCUGACUCUUGACCUCGAAUCAGACGAGGAUACCCGCUGAACUUAAGCAUAUCAAUAAGCGGAGGCU
rnacentral:misc_RNA from 1 species